rnacentral:lncRNA from 1 species
UUUUGAGGACAUGAACUAUGUUGCCAACUUUCUCAAUGCCACUGAAGAGCUGGAGUGGGCCUGUGACCACAUCACAGACUGCCAGUUGUCUCAAAUAAGGUUCAGCAUGACUUUCCAAGUAAGGGAAACCCUUCAACCUCAUUAUGAGAUCAUAUAUAUUCCCAUUAAAUGUAUCAGCUACAGUGAAAUAAGGUUCAACAUGACAUUCCAAGUAAGGGAAACCCUUCAACCUCAUUAUGAGAUCAUAUAUAUUCCCAUUAAAAGUAUCAGCUACAGUUUUGGAUAUAAGAAG